rnacentral:rRNA from 1 species
AACGUAGGAGACAAACGUUAUCCGGAGUUACUGGGCGUAAAGGGCGUGUAGGUGGUAUCGUAAGUCUGGCGUGAAAUUUCUCGGCUUAACCGAGGCAGGUCGUCGGAUACUGCGAGGCUAGAGGACGGUAGAGGCGUGUGGAAUUCCGGGUGUAGUGGUGAAAUGCGUAGAGAUCCGGAGGAACACCAGUGGCGAAGGCGACACGCUGGGCCGUACCUGGCACUGAUGCGCGACAGCAUGGGGAGCAAACAGG